UACGAAGGGGGCUAGCGUUGUUCGGAAUUACUGGGCGUAAAGCGUGCGCAGGCGGCUUCUCAAGUCAGUGGUGAAAGCCCGGAGCUCAACUCCGGAAUUGCCAUUGAAACUGUGGAGCUUGAGGACGAGAGAGGUGAGUGGAAUUCCCAGUGUAGAGGUGAAAUUCGUAGAUAUUGGGAAGAACACCGGUGGCGAAGGCGGCUCACUGGCUCGUUUCUGACGCUCAGGCACGAUAGCGUGGGGAUCAAACAGG
rnacentral:rRNA from 1 species